UCUAUAUCUCUCACACUGGUGUGCUGGAGAAUGGGAGUUGCUGCACCUCUCUGCAUCUCCUGAAGUCAACGUCGGCCGAAGUCCAUCGGGUUCUUGGAACGAUAAUCCGUCAUGGCGCCCAAACCAUACAC
rnacentral:misc_RNA from 1 species